GAACGUUGGCGGCGUGCUUAAUACAUGCAAGUCAACUGAAGCACCGGUAGUAAUACUGGUGUGGAGGUGGCGCACGGGUGAGUAACACGUAGGUAAUCUGCCUUCAGGUCUGACAUAACCCCGAGAAAUCGGGGCUAAUAGCAGAUGAUGCAGCGGCUUGACAUCAAGACAGUUGUUAAAGCUUCGGCGCCCGAAGAUGAGCCUGCGUCUGAUUAGCUAGUUGGCGGAGUAAUAGCCCACCAAGGCGACGAUCAGUAGCUGGGUCUGAGAGGAUGAUCAGCCACACUGGAACUGAGACACGGUCCAGACUCCUACGGGAGGCAGCAGUAAGGAAUAUUGCUCAAUGGGAGAAAUCCUGAAGCAGCAACGCCGCGUGAGGGAUGAAGGGCUUUUGCUCGUAAACCUCUGUAGUGAGGGAAAAAUUUCCAUUCUAUGGAAUAUGAUGGUACCUCAAAAGUAAGCCCCGGCUAACUACGUG
rnacentral:rRNA from 1 species